AUUGAACGCUGGCGGCAUGCCUUACACAUGCAAGUCGAACGGCAGCGCGGGGGCAACCCUGGCGGCGAGUGGCGAACGGGUGAGUAAUAUAUUGGAACGUACCCAAGAGUGGGGGAUAACGUAGCGAAAGUUACGCUAAUACCGCAUACGAUCUAAGGAUGAAAGCAGGGGACCGCAAGGCCUUGUGCUCCUGGAGCGGCCGAUAUCUGAUUAGCUAGUUGGUGGGGUAAAGGCCUACCAAGGCAUCGAUCAGUAGCUGGUCUGAGAGGACGACCAGCCACACUGGGACUGAGACACGGCCCAGACUCCUACGGGAGGCAGCAGUGGGGAAUUUUGGACAAUGGGGGGCAACCCUGAUCCAGCAAUGCCGCGUGAGUGAAGAAGGCCUUCGGGUUGUAAAGCUCUUUGUCAGGGAAGAAACGGUUGUGGCUAAUAUCCAUGGCUAAUGACGGUACCUGAAGAUAAGCACCGGCUAACUACGUGCCAGCA
rnacentral:rRNA from 1 species